rnacentral:misc_RNA from 1 species
AAGAGACGUUGCCCUUCGGGGUAUACCUCCCACCCUUUGUUUAUUUUACCUUUGUUGCUUUGGCGGGCCCGUCCUCGGACCACCGGCUUCUGCUGGUCAGUGCCCGCCAGAGGACCUAAAACUCUGUUUGUUAAUAUUGUCUGAGUACUAUAUAAUAGUUA